rnacentral:lncRNA from 1 species
CUUUCAAGUAAUCUGCCCAAAUGGCAGGAAUUUUAUGUUUUAUCAAAAUAACUUUCUGUGCUUUAUGUUAAAAACUGAGUCUUUUCUAUUAAAAAGAAUAAGGUUUUGCAGCUAUGUAACCUUCUAUAUUUGUCUUUGAAAUCUUUUUGUCACUUUGGUUAAAUAGAUAAUUAAAUACUAAGUUUCAUAAUGAUCUGUGAUCCUAUUUAGGCAAGUAUUUUAAAAACGUUUUUUUUCUUGAGGAACAUUAACCCUGAGCUAACAUGUGCUGCCAAUCCUCCUCAUUUUGCUGAGGAAAAUUGGCCCUGAGCUAACAUCCGUCCUCAUCUUCCUCUAUUUUAUAUGUGGGGUGCCUGCCACAGCAUGGCUUGAUAAGUGGUACAUAGGUCUGCACCUGGGAUAUGAACCAGCGAACCCCAGGCUGCCAAAGGGGAACAUGCAAACUUACCUGCUGAGCCACUGGGCUGGCCCCUAAAAACUAUUUUUUGAUAGUUUUGGACAAACUUUCCCAAAUCAGAUACUAAACAAAGCCUUUUUUGACCUCCAGCUAACUUUGGGAUUUUUCAGAGGAUUCCUGAAACAUCUCAAAAGAUUUGUUCUCUCUCCUUAUAAAAAGAGAGAUAUUAGGCUUAUUUGAUGUGUUAUGUGGGAAGCAUUGUCAAAUAACAAAUAUCAUUAAACCUUUUUUUAUAAAUGUAUGUUAUAAGAGUUCCAGAAAUUAUAUGAAAUUCCUGGAAGUCUAAUAUUUCAUAGUAUAAAAUGUCUUUCAUCAAAAUUGAGUCUAACACUAAAAGAAUUGAACCUGAAUAUCUGAGAAAUGCCUUAGCUGAUUUUCACAUAAAGGCAGUAAUGACAGAAUCUAUAACAAUUGGCAUGUGUGAAUGAAGUCCAUUCUGCCUCUGGAAAGAAUAACGCCUCAUUGCCUGACUUUCGCCAGCCUGAUGUCCUUGUAACAUGGUAACAGACUGCUCCUAAAUCAGAGAAAUUAAGAAGGGUAGACAAUGGUCGUAAAUUAAAUGAACAGUCAGGGCUACGGAAAAUCCAAGACAGCUGCUUGGCGCUUCCAGGAAAACCCUAUUUUUCAUUUUUUUGCAUUCCUUCAUCCACCAUAGUGCAUUAAGAAAAACUAUUUUUGUCCCUAGAGGCCUCAGACCUUCACCCUCUGGGACCAUUGAACAGCUGCAGCUAUAUUUCAUUCAACUGACACUUAAUAUGGGUUAUCAACAUGUUCCUGUUAUUGUAUGCAUGUUCUCCAGAUGGGGUAAAGUUUUUCCUUGCCACAAAGCUGAUGCUUUCACAAUGGCAAAGAAAUUGUUAGAAAAUGUAUUUCCCCCCUUGGUUAUCCCUUCCGUAGCUUCCAGUGAUUGAAGCACCCACUUCACUGGGCAAAUCAUAUGAGCCUUAAUGACAACCUUGCAAACUUCUUGGAAUUAUCACUGUCCCUAUCACCAUCAAUCAUCGGGCAAAGUCAAGAAAACUAAUGAAAAAACUGGAUUCAGGUAGGAUAAAGUAUUAAUUACAUGCGACUGCAUAAACUGAGGAGGUUGUUCUGUUUCAUUUUUUCAGAUUUAGAGAAAUCUUUUCUCUUUUGCAAGAUACCUUUGUGAACAAAGAAGAAACAUUUGCUUUUUCUCUCUACUUAAUCCCUCCAAAAUUCAGAAACUCUCACUUAUACAAAUAAUCAGGCCAAGUUUUUAAUACAAACAGAUUAGUUUUACUGUGACCAUAUUUGGUUAAAAAAAAAAAGGGAGGGACAAUCAUAGAGAGAAGAAUUACAUUUGCACCUUUGUAGAUAUUAUAUUCUAGUCCAGUUAAUGUUCUUUGAGGUAUUGUUAUAUCUGUAUACUGGACUCAACUGGCUUAAGGUAUUGCCUUUGGUCUCACUGACUGUUUGAAGUACUCCCUUUGGAAAACAUAAACUCACUCCACACAAGAGAAUCACUGGUAGACCAACGUCUAUUGGUAUACAACCUUCUGCUGAUCCCUUAUUGUCUUAUGCUAGUAUGACCAGCUACUGUAAGUCUCUAAUGUCUAAUGCUCAAGCCUAUCAUCAACAGGUUAAAGAAGCUUUCCUGGAUUCCAAUUUAAAGGAUCCUGUUGGUCAUAAUCUAGAUCCUGAUGACUGGGUAUUUUGGAAGUGUCAUCAGAGGAGGAUAGCCCUUGAUCCCCAUUGGAAAGGACCAUAGCAAGUCCUCCUGACCACUGACGCUGCUACAGAACUAGAAGACAUUGUACAUCUCAUGUCCCUUUUGGGUAUACCUUUGCGUUUCAUUACAGCAGGGAACCAUGGGCUUAUGACUGUCUAGACAGCUGGUAUAUAGCAGGACAAUGCCUUUUAGGAUUCCACAGUAUCCACUUCAAGUUUUUAUUAAAGAAGAAACCCAACUGCAAUAUCAUAGGUCUAGGUGAGAAUUGACGACCCCCUUUUUGCAUCCCAUCUACUCUCUAUUGAUUAUCAUUGCCAAGUGUUUGUCCCUUGGAUUGGUGAGGUCCAUGACCUGUUUAAACAAAAUUUAUCCCUAACUGUAGCUAAACUGGCAAAUUCUACUGCUCAAGCCCUGGCUCAACAACAACUAUCUCUGGAUUCUCCAGUGAGGGUUGUAUUAGAUAACUAAAUGGCACUUGAUUAUCUCUUUGCAGAACAGGGCAGCAUCUUUGCCAUACCCAACACUUGGGUAUGUAUCUUGGGUAGAUACUUGCUGUAUCUGGAUCAACUCUUCUGGUGAAGUUGAGUUAGAACUUGGGAAAAUUGCACAGGACCUUCCUGAUUUCAAUGUUUUCAGCUGGCUUCCUUCGGAUCUGCUCCAGAACUUCUACAAACGCCAAGAUUAUGUUCCCUCAGUGUAUUGAAAUGAUAGAGAAGGCUUAUUUGCCUGAACCUUCAAGUAACCAGAAGAAAUUCUCCGGCAAAUAAACUACCUAAGAGUUAUUUCCUGACUACCUCCUUGUUGCUCAAAUAUGGGCAAACCCUUAUGAUACUGACUCCUUGGAAUGACCAUUGAAAAAAAGGAAAAAACCUUUUUCUCCCCGAUGUGGGACAUGACUUUCUGGGACAGGUCCAUCCCAAAAAUGUGGGACUAAACAAAUCUAUGGUUGAUCAGCAACACUUUCAAAGAAAGAUCUUGAUCAAAAGGGAAAAAUGUGAGAUGUGAAACAAAAUGGGGUCACUUCUGUGUAAGGGAUUUAAAAUGGAUUUGAGAAGCCAUCAAGGAAAUGGGUCUUAUGCAUGUCCUCAUCAGGUAGAACAUGAACUUCUGAACUGAGUAACGCUGCAAGAAACCUGCAGGUAAUUACAGUGAUGGACUCUUUCCUCUCUCUAGCUAGCCUUAGCAAUCAAUUAUGCUUCGCCAAGGUUAGCCUUCUGCCACCAACCACAAUAGCAUUAUUUGUAAGGCAAACCUCCCUCUUUUGCCUUUACAAAUCCUUGCCUCUUACUCGCUAGCGGGACACUAUUUGGGUUGCCACCUACACAUAUGUACCCCAGUUGCAAUUCUUUGAUCUCCAAAUAAAUGCUUCUCUGCCUCUCAUUUAGGCUCUUUAUUUUUAGGUUAACACAUACUGGGAAGUGGUAUUAGAGACCACAGUUUGUGUGCUAGCAUAUCCAUUGCUAAUGGGUUGGUCAUUGUUUCUAGGCUUUGUCAGUGGACAGAGUUAGGAAAUCCUUUUUUAAGUAGAUAACAUAUCAUGAGUUCAUACUUAUAUCUCCUAUUCAAAUUCAGCAGUAAAGAGUUAUUUCUUAACUUCUCUAAUUUUCGAUUUCAAUUUCUUUUCUCUCACACUGAAAAUCUUUGUUACUAAACAAUAUUAACUUAAUUAUAUACCAUUUUAUUAUUAACCAUAUGAUUACAGAAUUCGUCUGUCUUUUGCCAUUAUUUUUGCCUUAUGAUAUACCACCCUAGGGACAUAUGGUCAAAUUACUGUAUUGUAAAUAACUUCUCUCUGUGUGGUUAAGCCACUAACUCAAUACAUACUUAUUUAUAUGUAUUUGUUUCCUUUGCUUUAAAUUUUAACAUUGCUUUAUAAAUUUUGAUUUUAUAAUUUCGCAUGUCACAUAGUUUCACAAUCCAUUCACUCAGAGAAGUCUAGCCCACAUUCUUAUCCUUCUCAACCUAUUCCUUCUUUUCUUUCUCAUGGGUAGUCAUUUUAUAAAUUUUUUUUGGAUGCUUUUUGGUGAGGAAGAGUGGCCCUGAGCUAAGAUCUGUUGCCAAUCUUCCUUGGUUUUUUUCUCCCCAAAGCCCCCGUACACAGUUGUAAGUUCCUCUAGUUCUUCUAUGUGGUAUGCCCCCACAGCACAUCUUGAUGAGCAGUGUGUAGGUCUGCAUCAAGGAUCCGAACCAGUGAACUCCAGGCUGCCAAGGUGGAGCGUGCAAACUUAACCACUACAACACCAAGCCGGCCUCUAUACAUUUUUGGUUUAUCUAUCCAUUUUUUAAAUAUGUAAGGAAAUGUAUUUUUUUUUUUUUGAGGAAGAUUAGCCCUGAGCUAACAUCUGU